GUCUACGGCCACACCACCCUGAACGCGCCCGAUCCCGUCCGAUCUCGGAAGCUAAGCAGGGUCGGGCCUGGUUAGUACUUGGAUGGGAGACCGCCUGGGAAUACUGGGUGCCGUAGGCU
rnacentral:rRNA from 1 species